UACGGGGGGGGCAAGCGUUGUUCGGAAUUACUGGGCGUAAAGGGCUCGUAGGCGGCCAACUAAGUCAGACGUGAAAUCCCCAGGCUCAACCUGGGAACUGCGUCUGAUACUGGAUGGCUUGAAUCCGGGAGAGGGAUGCAGAAUUCCAGGUGUAGCGGUGAAAUGCGUAGAUAUCUGGAGGAAUACCGGUGGCGAAGGCGUCAUCCUGGACCGGCAUUGACGCUGAGGAGCGAAAGCCAGGGGAGCAAACAGG
rnacentral:rRNA from 1 species